GACGAACGCUGGCGGCGUGCUUAACACAUGCAAGUCGAACGGAAAGGCCCUGCUUUUGUGGGGUGCUCGAGUGGCGAACGGGUGAGUAACACGUGCGUAACCUGCCCUUGACUUUGGGAUAACUUCAGGAAACUGGGGCUAAUACCGGAUAGGAGCUCCUGCUGCAUGGUGGGGGUUGGAAAGUUUCGGCGGUUGGGGAUGGACUCGCGGCUUAUCAGCUUGUUGGUGGGGUAGUGGCUUACCAAGGCUUUGACGGGUAGCCGGCCUGAGAGGGUGACCGGCCACAUUGGGACUGAGAUACGGCCCAGACUCCUACGGGAGGCAGCAGUGGAGAAUAUUGCACAGUGGGCGGAAGCCUGAUGCAGCAACGCCGCGUGCGGGAUGACGGCCUUCGGGUUGUAAACCGCUUUCGCCUGUGACGAAGCGUGAGUGACGGUAAUGGGUAAAGAAGCACCGGCUAACUACGUG
rnacentral:rRNA from 1 species